CAGCCGGGGUCCCGGGCAUGUGCCCGGUGUGUGCCCUCGGAGAGGGGUGAGGGUGGUCCCGCAUGAGGUGCGGUGGGCUGCCCCGACGUGUCCCGGUGGGACCGGCCGUCCCUGUGACACCGUGGAGGUGACCGGGUAAUUUCUGGCCUCAGGUGGUUUCCUGAUAUAAUUUGGACAGGGAGAAAUGGGUGCAAACUGAAAGAGGGGGAAAUUAGGUUGGGUGCGCGGAAGAAAUGCUUUUAUGUGAGAGUGAUGAGACACUAGGAUGGGUUGCCCAGGGAGGUUUGGAUGCCCCAGCCCUGGUGGUGUUCAAAGGCAGGUUGGAUGGGACUUUGAGCAAGCUGGUCUAGUGGAAGGCGUCCCAGCCCAACGGGAUGGUCUUUAAGGUCCCUUCCAACCUUGAUCCUAUGAUUCUGCGUUUGGGGGUUUCUAAAAAAGGAAAAUGCUUCAUGAAGUCGCAUCCUGGUGUUGCACAGGUUGGUUACUGGAAGGUUUCAGACCUGCUGACGGUCUUGUCACUGCAUGUGUUGGCACGGAAAAAGGGGGGAAAUGGCAGUUUUGCUGGAUCUUGCAGGAAUGUUGAGAGUUCGGACACAUUUGUCAGGACAGGCUGUCAGAAGACAGUGGGAAUUUUAAGGGUCUCCAUCUCUGCCCUGUGGUCUCUCUCUGCUAACCCUCCUGUGUGGUGGAAGGCAAACACAAAUCCUGAGCCAGGCCACUGGUCAAAAGUCAUGAGUGAAAUCUUGGUCUUUAAAAAUAACAUCUUGAAAUAAUAUGUUUUAUGUUAUUUGGUUUAGAGCCUAGAAUUUUUAUCUUUGGUAUGCUCGAACUUUUCUCCAAAACCCAAAGGGAAAUAACAAAACUCUUUUUUCCUUAUUGAAAGCUGAGGUUAAUAUCUAAAUAUCUUCCCCUUCAGAAGCUGAGGUUUUAGGAGUACUGGCUUAGGUUAAACUAAUAAGUUUGAGCAACAGUGCUUUGUUUUGAGUGGAACUUUGAAAAAGUCCAGCUGGGGGAAACCAGAGGCCCAAGACCAGUGGAGAACUCCAUGGAGGGACAAAAUGCAUGAAAGGAGUGAAACCAGAGAAGCAGAUGAGACUUCAUGGAGGCCUGGCCAGCUGAAGUAGAUACCUUGGCCCUGUUUAGAGGCAGCAGAAGAUAUUUGGCUGAUAACAGCUAAAGCACUCUUACAUCAGAGGGAGAGGUUGGAAAGGGCUUUGUCCCUGACUUCUGACCUGGUGUGGCUGUAGGGUUAAAUUCAACAUCGGUCUUCCAGAAAGGGGAAUGUUGAUUUUGUGUUUUUAGCUGACCAACCAUUGCUGGAGAACACAAGGCUUGUGUUUUAGUCACUUCACUGCUGUAUAUACUCUCAUUUCCAUUGUUGUGUGUUUUCAGCAUUCUUGAGUUCUUUCUUGGUCUUCCCCAGAUGCCAUCACUGCAUCCAUAAUUCAAAGACUUGAGUAAAGAUGGCAGGAACAAUUGCAGAGAGCAGCACAGACCCUGUGAAGGCACCUAAAAGUGAACUUUAAAGAUCAAGACUAUGUUUUCUUGCCCUGUGCCACAGUGUCCACGGGAGUGGAUGGUAAAAACCCCUUCCCACUGUCUGCACCUGUUGUCCUUUGUCACCUUUGUGCCUUCCCUAGUCAUAAAGGUGGUUUUUACUCCUCCUAGACUUUCUCCAGUCACCAGGAGGGGAUCUUGGAAGACAGGUCUGGGGCUGGCACAGUCACAGGAAAAAGAGAAUUGUGAAAGGGGUAAGGGCGCCACGCUUUUUCAGUUUUUCAUCAGCUAAGCCCUGUUUUGGAUCUGAUUCUAUUCUACAGCCAGAUGAGAGAGGGCAGGUUUAAUAAUCCAAAUAAGUGUGCAGCUUUUUGAGCAAUUAGAGAAUCAACUGGUAAAUACAAAACACAUCUGUCUCACUUGUGACAGAUGACUCUAUUACAAUAACAGAAGUAUGAGUUCAUCCUAUUCAGGCAUCUUUAAAGUUUCCCAAAAGUAGAGAAUUAAUGCACCAAUUCAACUGUAAAAAAUGACAAACUUAUAAACACCCAGAAGAGGAAUUUUGAAGAGAAAUUUUGGCAACCUUAAAUACAGUUGUAACACCAGCCACGUUAUUGAAGCAGAGUUGCAAUACAUAACUGUGCAGAAUAUGUACAAUUCUGACUGUAUUGUAAUUCAGACAACUUCAGACAAGUUCCACAUGUUUAACAGAGAAAAUGUUGCAGAAAUACUUCUUAUUUAUUGUGAUACUUUAGAUACUAGAGAGCAAUCAUUCCCUGUCGAAAACAGCAAAUGAAAUUACCAAUGUAGAAUAUUUUGAACUAGUGUUACUCUUAAGUGUAAGAAACCCAUAUUGGGACAUUCUAGACUAAAUACAGAUGCUUGAGAAGCAAGAAGCACUUCCAUUUUCUAGAUCUGGAAAGUCAGAAAAAACAACCCUUGAAUUUAUUGUUCAUGAGCUGGCUAGAACUAAUAAACUUUGGCUAAUUUAGGUCUUUUUUUUUAACUUUUUUUCCCCUACCAUUUUGUUUUAGAGGAGGAUGGAGCACAUAGUCCAGAUCUGAAUAAUAGGAAGGAACUCUCAUUAAGGGCCUGGGUUAUUUGAUAAUAACCAUGUGAGGCUGCUUGGGCAGAGCUGUAAUACUACAAAAUAUUAGAGAAAAUCCUCGAGAGAUGGAUUAGCAGUCAAAGCUGAACGCUGAAGGUAAUUAAUUGUUUGAUUCCCUAUCAGGUGUGUAUACUUUCCCUUUUCUUCUGCAUCAAAUCUAAGGUUGCUGGAAACAAACCAACUAACAACAAAGAACAAAGGAAGAAAGAAUAAUUUAGAACAAUCACAUUUUCCACAGUACCAGCUAAAUAAAGGCUGGAACAGGCACCUGGAUGUGCUUGCCACUUCCAAAAAAUGAGAUAAGGAUGAAAGAUAAGCACUUUCCUUAAACAGCAUUUUUAGAAAUCAUUCAGCAGAUAGUAAGCAAAUUACACUGGUGUGAGAUUCUUCAUCACUUCAUGCAGAGGAGGAUGGUCAGUAUUUUAGUAGAGGAGUGGAAUAUGGAAAGCCAAAACCUGGCUGGAGUUGCAACUGAAGGACGUGAAGGGCAACAGAAAGAGCUUCUACAGGUGAUUUGGCAGCAAAAGGAGGACAAGGAAAUAUGUGGGCCUGCUGCAGGACUGGGUGAUUAAACUGGCCAUAAAGGUCAAGGAAAAAGAAGAGACCUCUUUCAUCUUGGACUUUGCUGGGAAAAACCCCAUUCCCAUCUCCCAAGCUUCUGUGCUUGUAGUAGGGUUUGGGCAGAGGAGGGAAACUCCCCACAGAAAGUCCACUCUGUCAAAGUGGGCAUAUACAAGUCCACUGGGCCACAUGACACUUACUUGAGUGUUGAGGGAGCUCACCAGUUUUGUACUCACAACCUGUGACGUUGGAAAGUCCAUGACAUUUAAAGACUGAAGGUGACUGAACAAAGGCAAAAGUUGGUUGUGUCUGACCCAGUGUCACUGACUUUGGGCUUAGUGAGCACAGGGAAAGCAGAGAAUGUCGUUCAAGCUUGUCUUUAUGAGGGCUUUUGGUGGAUUUCCUCGAUAACCUUAUAACUGGGGAGAUGUGGGUGAGGUGGGCAGACCCUGGGUGUGAAAAACUGCUUGUACCCCUAGGCUUGAAGGUUGUGUGUCAUUGGUUUGAAGUCUUGUCUGCUGCCCUGUUAGGAGGGGUCAGGGAUCAGUACUGGGGCGAGUCUCAUUUGACAAGGUCACCACGCAGGGGGUGGUACAGAGUGCACCCUCAGCAAGUUUUCAGCUGCUCUCCUUGCCAAACUGGGGAGAUCAGCUGGUACACAGGAGGCACCAGUCAGAGGAGGCUUGCCAAGCUGCAGGUGUGGGCCAGUGAGAACCUCGUGUUGGUCAACAGAGACAAGGGCAAAGUCCUGAAUAUGGAACAGGCUAUAGGAUGCUACAAGCUGAGAACCAGCUGGCUUGGAAGUAGCCCAGCAGAAAAGGGCCUGGCCAUCCAGGUGGACAAAAGAAGUUCCUCAUGGGAUUCCAACACCUGCAGAGCUGCAUUCUCCUUAAAGCCAGCAGGUAUGAGCUCUGAGUCCUGCACUGGUGAGGCCACACUGGGUACACACUGUCUAGUUUGGGAGCAGCCAGUUCAGCAGAGGCUGCUGAGACUGUGAGGGGCUGAAGCACAUGCUGUGUGAGGAAGUGGGUUUGGCCACAGCAGGAUCUAAUUACAAUGUGCACCUUCCCAGAGAGAAUUAUAGGGAAGAUGGCACAAGGCUUUUCUCUGAGAUAGUCGCCAACAGGAUGAGAGAUAAAAGUGAGAAACUGCACCCAGAGAUAUUCCAAUUGUGUGUAAGAAAACGAAAGUUCAAAGUGAGAAUGGUCAAGCAGAGCAUUUUCCCUGAGUGGCUGUGGAUUUUCCAUCCUUGGAAACAAAACUAGACAGGAAAAGACUUUGAGCAACCUACUUUAUCUUUGAAGAUAGCCGUGGAGAUAGCAGGAGGUUGAACCAGUGACCUUCAAAAUAUCUUGCCCAACUUUCAUUUUGCUUUGAUUAUAAAUAUACUUUCUACAAGACUAUCCUUGUGUUGGUGGGGAACAGUAUUGGUGACUGGAUAAUUGUCAUGUCUCAGGGGUUACUGAUAUUAUAUCCCAAAGCUUCAGUGCAGCCAUCCUGUUGCUUUGUAGCUGAGCUUGCAUAGUGAAGAUAAGGGCAGCAGUGCUUUCGUUGCAACCUAAUUAAAUAUUAGGUAAUCACACAGUGUCUUCUGUCCACCAAAUUCAUGUGCAUACACUGAUGUUGACCUCUGCACUCUCCUGAGUAAGCACAGCAUGCUGUGGUCACAAAAAUAAAUGUCAGAAAGUGCCAGGGAUCCCAUGUGGUACAGAACGUCCUGUUUAAUACAGGGUGUGUCCUAUCUUUAUGUGGUCAGUGCAAUUUCUCGUAGGAAGAGCAUACCUGGCAUGGAUUCCCCUGUAUUUCCAUUGCCACAGGUGUCUUUUCUGGAUGUGCAGGAUGCAUUGGGAGAGCUCAGACUUCUCUGUAAGGACAGAUAAAACGUGUAUGUGCAAGGGGUGUGCUGCCAGUCUUGGAUUUCUAUUCUCCUAAAUUUAAAAUCCUUCUUUGAAAAAUCAGACCAUAAAGAGAGAGAAAGAGUCGUGCAACUAAGGAGAGAACCUAGGUCUGAGAUAUGGCUGCUCAUCCUGUAGCUCCUGUUCUUAAACCUGGUCAGCUGGAACAUCUCUGGAAGCAUCCAAGGUCAGGCUGGAUGGGCCUUUGAACAACCUGAUGAGGAAGAAGAUAUCCCUGGAUUCAUGUGCAUGACAGUUUGGAAGGUGUGAGCCACAGGGAGAGAGAGAGCAGCAAUCCCUACUGGGAGUGACUUGGGAAUACCAUGGAGGAAGCAGGAGCAUUGGUGAGAUUUUUGAGGAUGGAAGAGUGAAAGAUGAAGUGCUAAAUUUGAGACUGUGGCUGCUAAAAUGAGCUGCUGAACAUCAGAGAGCAGGAAUUACUGCAUUUCCUGAGUGCUGCAGAACCUCUGAGCCUUUUAUUUCUAGUAGUAGAAAUCCACAUGGGUCUCAAGAAUGUUAAAAUAACAGGUUUUGAAAGCAACAGUUUUUCAUCAAGGCAAAAAUAUAUUUUAUAUAUAUAAAUAGGUAUCUGUGUUUAUCUGUUUUGCCCAUUCCAGGUCCCCUGAGCAGAUAAUGCUGCAGUCUCAGCUCCCACAGCCUCCACCCUCAGCUCCCUCACCCUCCAUCCUGGCUGCUGGGCUGUACAUCAUUUCAAAGGAGCACAGCUGGGUGCUGGACUGUAAUUUCUCAUGCAGCUCAGAUCAAGUCCAUUAGUUUAUUUGAAGGUUAGGACCAAGACCAUGGAAGUGCACGAGGAGCUAAUAGACAGAGCGGUGUUCCCGCUGUGCUCACGGGGGCUUAAACCAGGGAGAAAAUAGUCAGGCACAUCCAUAUUAUUUUCACCUUUUGCUUCACGAUUUGCAGUAGUCUCAUUCAUAAAUGACAAAGAAACAGCUCCCUGCUGUGAGGUCCUCAUGCCACAGAGAGCUGUAAUGAGUUUGUAACAAGAUGGAGACAAGGAAGAUUUUUUUGUGAUUACUCAGACAAAUCUCUGAGUGCAAAUCAGAGAUGUGCUGAGUGAGGGGUAUGUCUUUCCAUCACUCUCCAUGGCUUAAACAUCUGAGGAUUCUUAAGGUAUUCUCAUGGUAUUAUGUAAGAAGAACUCAGUAAGACAAAAAUGUUCUAAAUGCAUCUUUAUGGGUUUCUUGCCUUCAGUGUAUGUCAGAAUCUUCUGUAAUUUGACAGCCACUAGCAGUGAUUAAUGGCUAGCAAUAUGGCUAGGGGCAAUGUGUGUUUCAAAGUCAGUAUCAGGGAAGCCUCUGUGAUCUGGGAAGUCUUUGGCUGUGGAACUGUCUCCUUGCAAAAUCAGAAACAAGUGUUUUGCCUGUGUGCUCCUUGAAGAGCUCCAAAUAAAUAGCUGGAAUAUUAAUGAAGAUGAGGGUGAAAAACAGGGGAAUAUUCACCUUGGAGUGUGGUGCUAAACUGAGAUUUAAGGGUUGUUUCUGUUUCAGUCUUUUAUGAUAGCUAUUGUAAAUUUAUAUUUUUCAUAUGCAUGCAUAUAUAUUUGUGGAGGUGUAUACAUAUAAAUGCUCCAGAAAGAAAUGUUUUAUUUUCAUUUUCUUAGAAGCAUCAGGUGUUUUCUGUGUUGAAUCUUAGCAUGGGUAAUAUAUAUCCAGAUAUUAAAGUAACCAUGGCAAAAUAAAUAAAUAAAUAUUUCCAA